GUGGUUCAGGCGACGACGGGUAGCCGGCCUGAGAGGGUGACCGGCCACACUGGGACUGAGACACGGCCCAGACUCCUACGGGAGGCAGCAGUGGGGAAUAUUGCACAAUGGGCGAAAGCCUGAUGCAGCGACGCCGCGUGAGGGAUGACGGCCUUCGGGUUGUAAACCUCUUUCAGCAGGGACGAAGCGAAAGUGACGGUACCUGCAGAAGAAGCGCCGGCUAACUACGUGCAGGC
rnacentral:rRNA from 1 species